CGGUCCUCUUGAUGAGAAUUUUGUGACAAGAGGAGCCAUGCUAUCUUCGAAUGCUUCAGUGUGAAGAAUCGUGGCAAUUGGUAUUCUGGAUUUUAAAUAAAAGAAGUUGAAGGCCAAACUAUUUCCAGGUAAUCUUAUAAGCUAUUCAAUAACAUAAAAAGGAGUUGAAGUUUGAUAAUAGUUACUCUGUAGUUCUAAUGUAAUCGAAUAACUUGUCGUGAUCUUCAUGACUGAUGAAAACUGCUGGUGCAGGAAAUGAAAACGCAAUCUCAAGGUAUGAAAACGGCAUAAUUAUUCCCGCUGCUUUAGCCAGACGAGCUGUUCCUCCAUCAUUGGCAUAAUCACAAAGAACAAUUCCCCCUUCGGCUUUAUUACUAAGUGUACCCC
rnacentral:lncRNA from 1 species